ensembl:lncRNA
UUUUUUUUUUUUUUUUUUUUUUUUUUUUUUGCUUAAAGAUUGUCACCUGAGCUAGGCACUGUUGCCCUGCUUCCUCAGUUUCAGAGGGUACCUUUUUCAGGGUUGCUUUUUGACCGGGUCUCCUCGCCAUUGUAUUUUUUUAUUUUAUUUUUUUUGCUUAAAGAUUGCCACCUGAGCUAGCCUCUGUUGCCCAUCUUCUUCGGUUUCAGAGGGUAGAUUUCUCAGUGCUGCUUUUUCCCCAGGUCUCCACGCCCUUGUGUGUUUCUUUUGCUUAAAGUUUGCCACCUGAAGCCAGCCUCUCUUGCCCAUCUUCCUCAGUUUCAGAGGGUAGAUAUUUCAGGGUUGCUUUUUCCCCAGGUCUCCACGCCUUUGGGUUUUGUUUUUGCUUAACGAUUGCCACCUGAGCUAGCCUCUGUUGCCCAUCUUCUUCGGUUUCAGAGGGUAGAUUUCUCAGUGUUGCUUUUUCGCCAGCUCUCCACGCCCUUGCGUCUUUUUUUUUUUUCUGCUUAAAGGUUGCAACCUGAGCUAGCUUCUUUUGCCCAUGUUCCUCAGUUUCAGAGGGUGGAUUUCUCCGUGUUGCUUUUUCCCCAGGUCUCCACGCCCUUGUGUGUUUCUUUUGCUUAACGAUUGCCACCUGAGCUAGCCUCUGUUGCCCAUCCUCGUCAGUUUCAGAGGGUAGAUUUCUCAGUGCUGCUUUUUCCCCAGGUCUCCACGCCCUUGUGUGUUUCUUUUGCUUAAAGUUUGCCACCUGAAGCCAGCCUCUCUUGCCCAUCUUCCUCAGUUUCAGAGGGUAGAUAUUUCAGGGUUGCUUUUUCCCCAGGUCUCCACGCCUUUGGGUUUUGUUUUUGCUUAACGAGUUGCCACCUGAGCUAGCCUCUCUUGCCCAUGUUCCUCAGUUUCAGAGGGUAGAUAUUUCAGGGUUGCUUUGUCCCCAGGGCUCCACGCCUUUGUGCUUUGUUUUUGCUUAAGGAUUGCCACCUGAGGUAGCCUCUCUUGCCCAUCUUCCUCAGUUUCAGAGGGUGGAUUUCUCCGUGUUGCUUUUUCCCCAGGUCUCCACGCCCUUGUGUGUUUCUUUUGCUUAAAGAUUGCCACCUGAGCUAGCCUCUGUUGCCCAUCUUCGUCUGUUUCAGAGGGUGGAUUUCUCAGUGUUGCCUUUUCGCCAGCUCCCCACGCCCUUGUGUGUUUCUUUUGCUUAAAGAUUGUCGCCUGAGCUAGGCACUGUUGCCCUGCUUCCUCAGUUUCAAAGGGUACCUUUUUCAGGGUUGCUUUUUGACCGGGUCUCCUCGCCAUUGCAUUUUUUUAUUUUAUUUUUUUGCUUAAAGAUUGCCACCUGAGCUAGCCUCUCUUGCCCAUCUUCCUCAGUUUCAGAGGGUGGAUUUCUCCGUGUUGCUUUUUCGCCAGCUCUCCACGCCCUUGCGUCUUUUUUUUUUUCUGCUUAAAGUUUGCAACCUGAGCUAGCUUCUUUUGCCCAUGUUCCUCAGUUUCAGAGGGUGGAUUUCUCCGUGUUGCUUUUUCCCCAGGUCUCCACGCCCUUGUGUGUUUCUUUUGCUUAACGAUUGCCACCUGAGGUAGCCUCUGUUGCCCAUCCUCUUCAGUUUCAGAGGGUAGAUUUCUCAGUGCUGCCUUUUCCCCAGGUCUCCACGCCCUUGUGUGUUUCUUUUGCUUAAAGUUUGCCACCUGAAGCCAGCCUCUCUUGCCCAUCUUCCUCAGUUUCAGAGGGUAGAUAUUUCAGGGUUGCUUUUUCCCCAGGUCUCCACGCCUUUGGGUUUUGUUUUUGCUUAACGAUUGCCACCUGAGCUAGCCUCUGUUGCCCAUCUUCCUCAGCUUCAGUUUUCAGAGGGUGGAUUUCUCCGUGUUGCUUUUUCCCCAGGUCUCCACGCCCUUGUGUGUUUCUUUUCCUUAAAGAUUGUCACCUGAGCUAGGCAUUGUUGCCCUGCUUCCUCAGUUUCAGAGGGCACCUUUUUCAGGGUUGCUUUUUGACCGGGUCUCCUCGCCAUUGUAUUUUUUUAUUUUAUUUUUUUUGCUUAAAGAUUGCCACCUGAGCUAGCCUCUGUUGCCCAUCUUCUUCAGUUUCAGAGGGUGGAUUUCUCCGUGUGGCUUUUUCCCCAGGUCUCCACGCCCUUGUGUGUUUCUUUUGCUUAACGUUUGCCACCUGAAGCCAGCCUCUCUUGCCCAUCUUCCUCAGUUUCAGAGGGUAGAUAUUUCAGGGUUGCUUUUUCCCCAGGUCUCCACGCCUUUGGGUUUUGUUUUUGCUUAACGAUUGCCACCUGAGGUAGCCUCUGUUGCCCAUCUUCCUCAGUUUCAGAGGGUGGAUUUCUCCGUGUUGCUUUUUCCCCAGGUCUCCACGCCCUUGUGUGUUUUUUUUUUUUUCCUUAAAGAUUGUCACCUGAGCUAGGCAUUGUUGCCCUGCUUCCUCAGUUUCAGAGGGUACCUUUUUCAGGGUUGCUUUUUGACCGGGUCUCCUCGCCAUUGUAUUUUUUUAUUUUAUUUUUUUUGCUUAAAGAUUGCCACCUGAGCUAGCCUCUGUUGCCCAUCUUCUUCGGUUUCAGAGGGUGGAUUUCUCCGUGUUGCUUUUUCCCCAGGUCUCCACGCCCUUGUGUGUUUCUUUUGCUUAACGAUUGCCACCUGAGGUAGCCUCUGUUGCCCAUCCUCGUCAGUUUCAGAGGGUAGAUAUAUCAGGGUUGCUUUUUCCCCAGGUCUCCACGCCCUUGUGUGUUUCUUUUGCUUAAAGUUUGCCACCUGAAGCCAGCCUCUCUUGCCCAUCUUCCUCAGUUUCAGAGGGUAGAUAUUUCAGGGUUGCUUUUUCCCCAGGUCUCCACGCCCUUGUGUGUUUCUUUUGCUUAACGAUUGCCACCUGAAGCCAGCCUCUCUUGCCCAUCUUCCUCAGUUUCAGAGGGUGGAUUUCUCCGUGUUGCUUUUUCCCCAGGUCUCCACGCCCUUGUGUGUUUCUUUUGCUUAAAGAUUGCCACCUGAGCUAGGCACUGUUGCCCUGCUUCCUCAGUUUCAGAGGGUACCUUUUUCAGGGUUGCUUUUUGACCGGGUCUCCUCGCCAUUGUAUUUUUUUAUUUAUUUUUUUUGCUUAAGAAUUGCCACCUGAGCUAGCCUCUGUUGCCCAUCUUCCUCAGUUUCAGAGGGUGGAUUUCUCCGUGUUGCUUUUUCCCCAGGUCUCCACGCCCUUGUGUGUUUCUUUUGCUUAACGAUUGCCACCUGAGGUAGCCUCUGUUGCCCAUCCUCGUCAGUUUCAGAGGGUAGAUUCUCAGUGCUGCUUUUUCCCCAGGUCUCCACGCCCUUGUGUGUUUCUUUUGCUUAAAGUUUGCCACCUGAAGCCAGCCUCUCUUGCCCAUCUUCCUCAGUUUCAGAGGGUAGAUAUUUCAGGGUUGCUUUUUCCCCAGGUCUCCACGCCUUUGGGUUUUGUUUUUGCUUAACGAUUGCCACCUGAGCUAGCCUCUCUUGCCCAUCUUCCUCAGUUUCAGAGGGUGGAUUUCUCAGUGUUGCUUUUUCCCCAGGUCUCCACGCCCUUGUGUGUUUCUUUUGCUUAAAGUUUGCCACCUGAAGCCAGCCUCUCUUGCCCAUCUUCCUCAGUUUCAGAGGGUAGAUAUUUCAGGGUUGCUUUUUCCCCAGGUCUCCACGCCUUUGGGUUUUGUUUUUGCUUAACGAUUGCCACCUGAGCUAGCCUCUCUUGCCCAUCUUCCUCAGUUUCAGAGGGUGGAUUUCUCCGUGUUGCUUUUUCCCCAGGUCUCCACGCCCUUGUGUGUUUCUUUUGCUUAACGAUUGCCACCUGAGGUAGCCUCUGUUGCCCAUCCUCGUCAGUUUCAGAGGGUAGAUUUCUCAGUGCUGCUUUUUCCCCAGGUCUCCACGCCCUUGUGUGUUUCUUUUGCUUAAAGUUUGCCACCUGAAGCCAGCCUCUCUUGCCCAUCUUCG